CCAGGGAGAAGAGGAGGAGGAGAUGACAGACGGAAGGUCGGAGACGGGGUCCCGGCGCCCCGGCGGGUGAGCCCCCGGCCGCCUGCCUGGAGGAGGAGGCCCGGCCCGGCCCCAGCUCCAGACCCGGAUGACUCCCUUCCUGAGCCCAGGGCUGCUGUACGCCCCGUGAUGGAAAGCUCCUGGAGGCAGAAGAACCCCACGUUCGACCCCUCCCCGCCAACACAAUGGGGGCCAGUCCUGAAUGCAGCACAACUUCAGAUCCCCAAGAGGGGAGACACUUGCAACUGCCCUGUUUAGCUCUCUAGGACUACCCCCCUCUGACUCAUGUAGGGGUCACCCGAUGGGGCAACAGCUCCAUGACCCUGGUGGAGUGGGCUAGGGGGGAGGCUUUGGGGACGUGACUAGUUAGAUCUCCUAGGGCUUAGACCCAAUAUGGACCACCCACCCAGAGACCCUCCGGAUGGGCCGGAAAGGUGUUCCUUUUGCCAUGGGAUUACCCAUACAGAGUGGUUACCACCCAUGGGAAGAUAUUUCACCACCUGUCAUGGGGGGUUGGGGGUACCUGUAAUUUUCAGAUGUCUUCAAUUGCUUUGUGGGGCAAUAGUAAAGUUCAGAUUUGGUUCACAGGAGGUUUUGGGCUCAGUGUA